GAUGAACGCUGGCGGCGUGCCUAACACAUGCAAGUCGAACGGAAAGACGAUAAGCUCUUUCUUCUGCGGGUGGCGACGGGCGGCUGAGUGAGGAGUACAUCGCCAUCUACUUUUUCUUGGAUGAUUUCGUAGAACCGGAUCCGCUACCUGAUCAUAUAUAGUACGGCAGGGUUCAGUAGUUCAUGGGACCUUUGCUGUCACUUUUAGAUGAUGUCGCGUCGCCUUAGCUAGUUGGUAAGGUAACGGCUAACCAAGGCAACGAUGCGUAGCCGACCUGAGAGGGUGAUCGGCCACACUGGAACUGAGACACGGUCCAGACUCCUACGGGAGGCAGCAGUAGGGAAUAUUGGGCAAUGGGCGAAAGCCUGACGGAGCAACGCCGCGUGAGUGAGGAAGGUCUUCGGAUUGUAAAGCUCUGUUAUUAGGGAAGAACAGAAGUGGAAGUAAAUAUGGAUGUCUUGACGGUACCUAAAGAAAAAGCAACGGCUAACUACGUG
rnacentral:rRNA from 1 species